rfam:Rattus norvegicus chromosome 7, whole genome shotgun sequence.
UAGCUCAGUGGUAGAGCACUUGCCUAGCAAGCACAAGGCCCUGGGUUCAGUCCCCAG